rnacentral:rRNA from 1 species
AUUGAACGCUGGCGGCAGGCCUAACACAUGCAAGUCGAACGAGUGGCGGACGGGUGAGUAAUGUCUGGGAAACUGCCCGAUGGAGGGGGAUAACUACUGGAAACGGUAGCUAAUACCGCAUACCAUCGGAUGUGCCCAGAUGGGAUUGGCUAGUAGGUGGGGUAACGGCUCACCUAGGCGACGAUCCCUAGCUGGUCUGAGGGGAUGACCGGCUACAAUGGAAAUGAGACAAGGGCCGGAGUCCUAGGAGAUGCAGCAGUGGGGAAUAUUGCACAAUGGGCGCAAGCCUGAUGCAGCCAUGCCGCGUGUAUGAAGAAGGCCUUCGGGUUGUAAAGUACUUUCAGCGAGGAGGCGUUACUCGCAGAAGAAGCACCGGCUAACUCCGUGCCAGGAGCGGCGGUAAUUC